CCAAAUAGCAAAAUAAGGAAUGCAUAGGACAUGAUGCGAACAAAAUAAAGUAUUUACAGCUUUCAUGCGCCUGGUUAAUGACUUUCCUCUGGAAUUACAAACAGGGGAUGAACACGUUUGAAAUUUUGUUCUCGUUCCAGUGCAGCGUGCCUCAACGGUCUAGAGUGGAGGGUGCCUCAACGGUACAAUGGAGCGGAGCGUGCUUCAACGGUCUAGAGCAGAGCGUGCCUCAACGGUACAGUGGAGCGGAGCGUGCCUCAACGGUUGAGAUGAGACAAAAUCAACGACGAUCGUUAAUUCUAGGAGAGGAACAGUGAGGAGAACUACACAGUGGCUGAUUGGAGUUUUGGCGAGGAAAAUACUGAAAUUGCUCUGGCCUUCGCAAGUAGUUCCACAAUUGUUCUGAGUUGUCCAUUUUGCUGACCUAUACUAUCCUCCUCAACAGUGUUCAGCUCGUGCUUUCAGGAGUAGCGGUUGGCCCAGGAUGGCAAUCUUUUGUUGCUUACAUCAGUAUUGGCAGCUACUAUGUGAUGCUUGGGUGGGUGUUUAAUCAGGGAAGUUUGGUGAGUGCUACUUCUUUCGAUAGAAUAGGUUAAUAUGAAAAUGUCAUGGAAAUUCUAUUCAUUAAUAAGAAAAUCAUGUGGAACUUUGUGUCUUGAAGAUCAUAUUGUAAAGGAAUAUAUACUUUUGCAAGCCAA